UGGGGGAUAUUGCACAAUGGAGGAAACUCUGAUGCAGCGACGCCGCGUGAGGGAAGACGGUCUUCGGAUUGUAAACCUCUGUCUUUGGGGAAGAAAAUGACGGUACCCAAAGAGGAAGCUCCGGCUAACUACGUGCCAGCAGCCGCGGUAAUACGUAGGGAGCGAGCGUUGUCCGGAAUUACUGGGUGUAAAGGGAGCGUAGGCGGGCGAGAAAGUUGAAUGUUAAAUCUACCGGCUUAACUGGUAGCUGCGUUCAAAACUUCUUGUCUUGAGUGAAGUAGAGGCAGGCGGAAUUCCUAGUGUAGCGGUGAAAUGCGUAGAUAUUAGGAGGAACACCAGUGGCGAAGGCGGCCUGCUGGGCUUUAACUGACGCUGAGGCUCGAAAGCGUGGGGAGCAAAC
rnacentral:rRNA from 1 species